UCUGGUUGAUCCUGCCAGUAGUCAUAUGCUUGUCUCAAAGAUUAAGCCAUGCAUGUCUAAGUACAAACCUUAAUACGGUGAAACCGCGAAUGGCUCAUUAAAUCAGCUAUGGUUCCUUAGAUCGUCUCAUCCUACUCGGAUAACUGUGGAAAAUCUAGAGCUAAUACGUGCUUACAAGCCCUGACCUCACGGGAGGGGCGCAUUUAUUAGAUCAAAACCAAUCGGGGCUUGCCCCGUCUGCUUGGUGACUCUGGAUAACUUUUGUGCUGAUCGCAUGGCCUCUGCGCUGGCGACGUAUCUUUCAAGUGUCUGCCCUAUCAACUUACGAUGGUAGGUGAUAUGCCUACCAUGGUUAUAACGGGUAACGGGGAAUCAGGGUUCGAUUCCGGAGAGGGAGCCUGAGAAACGGCUACCACAUCUAAGGAAGGCAGCAGGCGCGCAAAUUACCCACUCCCGGCACGGGGAGGUAGUGACGAAAAAUAACGAUACGGGACUCUUUUGAGGCCCCGUAAUUGGAAUGAGUACACUUUAAAUCCGUUAACAAGUAUCUAUUGGAGGGCAAGUCUGGUGCCAGCAGCCGCGGUAAUUCCAGCUCCAAUAGCGUAUAUUAAUGUUGCUGCAGUUAAAAAGCUCGUAGUUGGAUCUGAGGACUCGAAUUGGUGGUGCACCAUACGGUGUUACUGCCGAUUCGGCCUACCUAGUCGGUGCUCGCUCUUGGUGUUCUUAAUUGAAUGCCCUGAGUGCCCGGCAAGUUUACUUUGAAAAAAUUAGAGUGCUCAAAGCAGGCCAUUAGCCGGAAUACUUCAGCAUGGAAUAAUGGAAUAGGACUUCGGUUCUAUUUUGUUGGUUUUCGGAACCCGAGGUAAUGAUUAAGAGAGACAGACGGGGGCAUUCGUACUGCGGUGUUAGAGGUGAAAUUCUUGGAUCGCCGCAAGACGAACAACUGCGAAAGCAUUUGCCAAGAAUGUUUUCAUUAAUCAAGAACGAAAGUCAGAGGUUCGAAGACGAUCAGAUACCGUCCUAGUUCUGACCAUAAACGAUGCCAACUGGCGAUCCGAGAUCGUUUGCUUAUUGACCUCUCGGGCAGCCUCCGGGAAACCAAAGUUUUUAGGUUCCGGGGGAAGUAUGGUUGCAAAGCUGGAAACUGUUCAAUUGCAACUCUGCCUGUGACACCAAGUGGUCGGUUACUUGGUCUGUUCUGGCCCGGAGUCGGUAGGGUUUCCGGCCUUGUGCUCUUUCCUUACUGUUCUCUGUAACGCCGAAGGCGGGGCUUCCACGGUGGGGAAGCGGUUGUACAAAUCCGGCAAAUCCAGCCAAAUGGGUUCCGGACUCUGUCCAACCUGCAACUGGUAACAGCCUCGGCUGGCUAACAUUUGAGCUGGGACUCGCUUGGGAGGAGCGAGGAUAAUAUAAACCUCUAUGUGACUGAGGUGAGGAAUCUGGUUCUCGUAAAAUGGCUGGAGAUCCCGAGCCUGUAAGUCAUAAAUUAGUUCCCCACGAGGGAGGUGUCGAAUUGAAGCCAGUGCGUGCCCUUACUAGUUUAAGGGAUUGUAUACUUCCUUUGGUGUACCCACCUGGAAGUGCCCAAGGGGUCCUAUCCCUGCACU
rnacentral:rRNA from 1 species